rnacentral:rRNA from 1 species
GACGAACGCUGGCGGCGUGCUUAACACAUGCAAGUCGAACGGAAAGGCCCUGCUUUUGUGGGGUGCUCGAGUGGCGAACGGGUGAGUAACACGUGAGUAACCUGCCCUUGACUUUGGGAUAACUUCAGGAAACUGGGGAUAAUACCGGAUAGGAGCUCCUGCUGCAUGGUGGGGGUUGGAAAGUUUCGGCGGUUGGGGAUGGACUCGCGGCUUAUCAGCUUGUUGGUGGGGUAGUGGCUUACCAAGGCUUUGACGGGUAGCCGGCCUGGGAGGGUGACCGCCCACAUUGGGACUGAGAUACGGCCCAGACUCCUACGGGAGGCAGCAGUGGGGAAUAUUGCACAAUGGGCGGAAGCCUGAUGCAGCAACGCCGCGUGCGGGAUGACGGCCUUCUGGUUGUAAACCGCUUUCGCCUGUGACGAAGCGUGAGUGACGGUAAUGGGUAAAGAAGCACCGGCUAACUACGUG